GACGAACGCUGGCGGCGUGCCUAAUACAUGCAAGUCGAGCGGACUUUCAAGAAGCUUGCUUUUUGAAAGUUAGCGGCGCCGGGUGAGUAACACGUGGGCAACCUGCCUGCAAGACGGGGAUAACUCCGGGAAACCGGGGCUAAUACCGGAUAAUAUCUUCCUUCGCAUGAAGGAAGGUUGAAAGGCGGCGCAAGCUGCCGCUUGCAGAUGGGCCCGCGGCGCAUUAGCUAGUUGGUGAGGUAACGGCUCACCAAGGCGACGAUGCGUAGCCGACCUGAGAGGGUGAUCGGCCACACUGGGACUGAGACACGGCCCAGACUCCUACGGGAGGCAGCAGUAGGGAAUCUUCCGCAAUGGACGAAAGUCUGACGGAGCAACGCCGCGUGAGCGAAGAAGGUCUUCGGAUCGUAAAGCUCUGUUGUCAGGGAAGAACAAGUACCGUUCGAACAGGGCGGUACCUUGACGGAACCUGACCAGAAAGCCACGGCUAACUACGU
rnacentral:rRNA from 1 species